rnacentral:lncRNA from 13 species
AUGGGGAGUGCUGGGAAGGCCUCCACACGAGCUCCUGACCAGCCCUUCUUUCUGGGGUGGGGAGGGUCCUCAGGCUGUCCGGUGGAGAGAGGACGCAGCUUCUUCUGGGGCUGGGCAGCUCUCUGGACCCUUUCCUGUGCUCAGGCACCCAUUGGCUGCUCUGUUUUUUUGGGUGUGGGACCCAGGAGAGUCGGGAUGGAGCUGGGCAGCCAGAGAGAGAAGCUGGAGUUCAAAGCUGCCCAGGAACUGGAAGCAGAGAGGGCUCAGAUGGCAUGGAAGGAGUUGAGCAGUGUGCUCCGGACACAGGGUGGCAGGGCUGCACCCCAGGCUGCUGUUGGCAGGGGCGUCGGCAGGCACAGACAGACACACACACACAGACAACACACACACACAGGUGCACACACACAGACACAUACACAUACACACACAGACAACACACACAGGUGCACACACACAGACAACACACACACAAGUGCACACACAGACAACACACAAACGUGCACACACACAGGUGCACACACACAGACACAUACAACACACACACAGGUGCACACACAGACACAUACACACAGACACACACACAGACAACACACAGGUGCACACACACAGACAACACACACACAGGUGCACACAUACCGACACAUACAACACACACAAGUGCACACACACAGACAACACACAAACGUGCACACACACAAACACAUACAGACAACACACAGGUGCACACACAGACACACACACAGACAACACACACAAGUGCACACACACAGACAACACACACACAGACACACACAGACAUACAUACACAGACAACACACAGACAGACAACACACAGACACACACACAAAGACAUACACACAGACAACACACACAGGUGCACACACACAGACACAUACAACACACACAGGUGCGCACAGACACACACAGACAACACACAGGUGCACACACGGACAUACACACAGACAACACACACAGAGACAACACACGGACACACACACAGAGACAUACAGACAACACACACACAGGUGCGCAGACACACAGACACACACACACAGAACUAUGCAGGCAUACGUGUGA